GUCCACGCCGUAAACGAUGUCUACUAGCCGUUGGGAGACUUGAUUUCUUAGUGGCGCAGCUAACGCAAUAAGUAGACCGCCUGGGGAGUACGGCCGCAAGGUUAAAACUCAAAUGAAUUGACGGGGGCCCGCACAAGCGGUGGAGCAUGUGGUUUAAUUCGAUGCAACGCGAAGAACCUUACCAGGUCUUGACAUCCAGAGAACUUGGCAGAGAUGCCUUGGUGCCUUCGGGAGCUCUGAGACAGGUGCUGCAUGGCUGUCGU
rnacentral:rRNA from 1 species